CAUAAAAAUGAAGGUUUUUAUUCAAGAAUACAAAUCUGAUGGUACCAGCCAUCUUUGAAAGCCACCCCACGAGGCAGAGGGGACACAGAGCCCAGUCCUUGCUCAGAGCAGAAGUGGCACCAAGGUGUCCCCAGUGCCAUCCUGGCCAGCAUUGCUCAAAUCCACCUCUUUUGAAACAUUCCCUGGACUUGAGAGGCACGAGAAGGGGUUUUAAGCCAAGAGCAGUUUGUUUUCACAAAGCCAGCUCCAGUUUGUUGUGUUUUCCAUUUGCCUUCAGUUGUCUCCAGCCUUUGGAGCAGAUUCUGAUUUCCAAAUGGGGGGAGAAAAAAAAAAUCUGGGAGUGAGCAGGUGCAGGAUUUUCUGGAGCUCAGGAUGAAUGAAAGGUUUUAAGGCAGGAGUCAGGGUUUGAAAUUCUCUUUGCCCCACGGCUCUGAGGGUGGAAAAUGAACAAAUCCAGAGUUCAGGGUUUGAAAUUCAAGAUUUUCCAUGGAAAAUCCAGUUGGUUAGAAGUAUCCAAGCCCAAUUUAAGAAUCCUUUUGGUUCAAACAUCUCCUUUUCCAUGGCUGCUGCAGGCUCAGGGAAGUGUCCUGGGGAAGGAGAGCCCAAUCCAUCCCUGCAGAUCCUCCUGGAUGGAAUUGGGGAGAGGAGAGGAGAGGCACCUGCAGGACCCAGCAAUCCCAAACUAAAUUCCUGGCAAGGGAAAUCCUGGAGCAGAUUUGUGUGUCCAGAGCACCACAAGCGUUUGUGGCUGCAGAGGGAGCAGCAGGACAUUCAGCAUUUGGGGAGGAAAACAAAUUAGGGGGCUGGAAAAUCCAAAAAUCCAAACCCAGGGAAUCUGCAAGGCAGCCACCACACCCAGGGGUUUGGAGAAGGAUUUCUUCAAUUCCAGGAAUUUUGCAGCCACCACAUCCAGGGGGAUUGAAGCAGAAUUUCUCCUUUUUCAGGAAUUCUGCAGCCACCAUACCCAGAGGGUUUGGAGCAGGAUUUCUCCUUUUUCAGGAAUUCUGCAGCCACCACAUCCAGAGGGUUUGGAGCAGAAUUUCUCCUUUUCCAGGAUUCUGCAGCCACCACAUCCAGAGGGUUUGCAGCAGAAUUUCUCCUUUUCCAGGAUUCUGCAGUGUGGACAAAGCUCAUCCCCACAGCCAAGGCAGGUUUGUUUAUUUUUUUUUAAAACACUUUUCUCAAGCACCUCUAAUCCCAGUCCAGAAGAGUCCAAGGUGUCCCAAAACUUCCAGCCACAAUCCAGGAGGGAUUUUGAUUACAGGGAAGGG